rnacentral:lncRNA from 1 species
AUGGGACGAACACAAGGACACUUCAAAAUAAGGGUAGAUGUGAACCUAACGGUAUGUCUGAAGCUUUGAUUACCACUUGAGGAGAACAAGUGUGGCCCGAUCUUCCGGAAGUUUCUGGUAACUAUCGAUUUGGUGGAAACGAGAGACAUAUCAAUCCAACUUGCGAACAACACAAUUCGAAACCAUGCAAUUCUUUUUAUUUUUUUUGAUAUUUUUGUUUUACUAAGGAGCACUCAAGAAGUAACCACAGGAAAUUUGAGCUUAAACAAGUGAAAGACGUGGCCUGUGGAAUUUUUUGAAGAUUGUGAAAAAUAUGAAAAAAACAUUAGGAGGUGAAAACUCAAACUUCAGAGGCGAAUUUGGGGAUUCUAAAAUUGUCGAACCCGCCGUUGGCGAGGAUAGACGGAUCCAAAAAUUGUUUCUGAUCGAUUCGAUUUUGAUAUAUAGAACGUCAAAAUUGGAGUUCGUAUGCGAAAGUUAUGGCUGUUUUAUGACCGGACUCUGAAUUAGAGGACAAAACGGUCCGGAAGUGGGAAAAAAUUGCGGUGGUGGCUAAAAAUUGAUAGAAACAGUGGGAAAAAACACACAAACUGGACUGUAACAAGACUUAACCAGUAACAAGACCUCGACCAGGACACAAACUCAACACUACGGACUCUGAAACUGAAAUAUGCAAAGGCUAUGGCGCGGAUGGGUUGUAGGACAUGAAAACAAUAUGGCACUAGACUUAUGCGACGAACACAAGGACACUUGAAACUAAGGGUAGAUGUGAACCUAACGGCAUGUCUGAAGCAUUGAUUACCACUUGAGGACAACAAGUGUCCGAAAGUUUCUGGUAACUAUCGAUUUGGUGGAAACGAGAGACAUAUCAAUCCAACUUGUGAACAACACAAUUCGAAACCCUGCAAUUCUUUUUAUUUUUUUUUGUAUUUUUGUUUUACUAAGGAGCACUCAAGAAGUAACCACAGGAAAUUUGAGCUUAAACAAGUGAUAGACGUGGCCUGUGGAAUUUUUUGAAGAUUGUGAAAAAUAUGGAAAAAAUUAUUAGGAGGUGAAAACUCAAACUUCAGAGGCGAAUUUGGGGAUUCUAAAAUUAUCGAACCCACCGUUGGCGAGGAUAGAGAGAUCCAAAAAUUGUUUCUGAUCGAUUCGAUUUUGAUAUAUAGAACGUCAAAAUUGGAGUUCGUAUGCGAAAGUUAUGGCUGUUUUACGAACGGACUCUGAAUUAGAGGACAAAACGGUCCUGAAGUGGGAAAAGAUUGCGGUGGUGGCUAGAAAUUGAUGGAAACAGUGAGAAAAAACACACAAACUGGACUGUAACAAGACCUAACCAGUAACAAGACCUCGACCAGGAUACAAACUCAACACUACGGACUCUGAAACUAAAAUAUGCAAAGGCUAUGGCGCGGAUGGGUUGUAGGACAUGAAAACAAUAUGGCACUAGACUUAUGGGACGAAAACAAGGACACUUCAAAAUAAGGGUAGAUGUGAACCUAACGGUAUGUCUGAAGCUUUGAUUACCACUUGAGGAGAACAAGUGUGGCCCGAUCUUCCGGAAGUUUCUGGUAACUAUCGAUUUGGUGGAAACGAAAGACAUAUCAAUCCAAAUUGCGAACAACACAAUUCGAGACCAUGCAAUUCUUUUAAUUUUUUUUGAUAUUUUUGUUUUACUAAGGAGCACUCAAGAAGUAACCACAGGAAAUUUGAGCUUAAACAAGUGAAAGACGUGGCCUGUGGAAUAUUUUGAAGAUUGUGAAAAAUAUGGAAAAAAACAUUAGGAGGUGAAAACUCAAACUUCAGAGGCGAAUUUGGGGAUUCUAAAAUUGUCGAACCCACCGUUGGCGAGGAUAGACGGAUCCAAAAAUUGUUUCUGAUCGAUUCGAUUUUGAUAUAUAGAAUGUCAAAAUUGGAGUUCGUAUGCGAAAGUUAUGGCUGUUUUAUGAACGGACUCUGAAUUAGAGGACAAAACGGUCCGGAAGUGGGAAAAAAUUGCGGUGGUGGCUAGAAAUUGAUAGAAAUAGUGGGAAAAAACACACAAACUGGACUGUAACAAGACCUAACCAGUAACAAGACCUCGACCAGGACACAAACUCAACACUACGGACUCUGAAACUGAAAUAUGCAAAGGCUAUGGCGCGGAUGGGUUGUAGGACAUGAAAACAAUAUGGCACUAGACUUAUCGGACGAACACAAGGACACUUCGAACUAAGGGUAGAUGUGAACCUAAUGGUAUGUCUGAAGCUUUGAUUACCACUUGAGGAGAACAAGUGUGGCCCGAUCUUCCGGAAGUUUCUGGUAACUAUCGAUUUGGUGGAAACGAGAGACAUAUCAAUCCAACUUGCGAACAACACAAUUCGAAACCAUGCAAUUCUUUUUAUUUUUUUUGAUAUUUUUGUUUUACUAAGGAGCACUCAAGAAGUAACCACAGGAAAUUUGAGCUUAAACAAGUGAAAGACGUGGCCUGUGGAAUUUUUUGAAGAUUGUGAAAAAUAUGAAAAAAACAUUAGGAGGUGAAAACUCAAACUUCAGAGGCGAAUUUGGGGAUUCUAAAAUUGUCGAACCCGCCGUUGGCGAGGAUAGACGGAUCCAAAAAUUGUUUCUGAUCGAUUCGAUUUUGAUAUAUAGAACGUCAAAAUUGGAGUUCGUAUGCGAAAGUUAUGGCUGUUUUAUGACCGGACUCUGAAUUAGAGGACAAAACGGUCCGGAAGUGGGAAAAAAUUGCGGUGGUGGCUAAAAAUUGAUAGAAACAGUGGGAAAAAACACACAAACUGGACUGUAACAAGACUUAACCGGUAACAAGACCUCGACCAGGACACAAACUCAACACUACGGACUCUGAAACUGAAAUAUGCAAAGGCUAUGGCGCGGAUGGGUUGUAGGACAUGAAAACAAUAUGGCACUAGACUUAUGCGACGAACACAAGGACACUUGAAACUAAGGGUAGAUGUGAACCUAACGGCAUGUCUGAAGCAUUGAUUACCACUUGAGGACAACAAGUGUCCGAAAGUUUCUGGUAAGUAUCGAUUUGGUGGAAAUGAGAGACAUAUCAAUCCAGUUUGCGAACAACUCGAUUCGAAACCCUACAAAUCCCUUUUUUGAUAUUUUUCUUUUACUUAGGAGCACUCAAGAAGUAACCACAGGAAAUUUGAGCUUAAACAAGUGAAUUACGUGGCCUGUGGAAUUUUAUGAAAAUUGUGAAAAAUAUGAAAAAAAACUUUAGGAGGUGAAAACUCAAACUUUAGAGGAAAAUUUGGGGAUCCUAUAAUUGUUGAACCCGCCGUUGGUGGCGAUAGACAGAUCCAAAAUUUUUUUCUGAUCGAUUUUGAUAUAUAGAACGUCAAAAUUGGAGUUCGUAUGCGAAAGUUAUGUCUGUUUUACGAACGGACUCUGAAUUACAGGACAAAACGGUCCGAAAGUGGGAAAAGAUUGCGGUGGUGGCUAGAAAUUGAUGGAAACAGUGAGAAAAAACACACAAACUGGACUGUAACAAGACCUAACCAGUAACAAGACCUCGACCAGGACACAAACUCAACACUACGGACUCUGAAACUGAAAUAUGCAAAGACUAUGGCGCGGAUGGGUUGUAGGACAUGAAAACAAUAUGGCACUAGACUUAUGGGACGAACACAAGGACACUUCAAACUAAGGGUAGAUGUGAACCUAACGGUAUGUCUGAAGCUUUGAUUACCACUUGAGGAGAACAAGUGUGGCUCGAUUUUCCGAAAGUUUCUGGUAACUAUCGAUUUGGUGGAAACGAGAGACAUAUCAAUCCAACUUGCGAACAACACAAUUCGAAACCCUGCAAUUCUUUUUAUUUUUUUUUGUAUUUUUGUUUUACUAAGGAGCACUCAAGAAGUAACCACAGGAAAUUUGAGCUUAAACAAGUGAUAGACGUGGCCUGUGGAAUUUUUUGAAGAUUGUGAAAAAUAUGGAAAAAAUUAUUAGGAGGUGAAAACUCAAACUUCAGAGGCGAAUUUGGGGAUUCUAAAAUUAUCGAACCCACCGUUGGCGAGGAUAGAGAGAUCCAAAAAUUGUUUCUGAUCGAUUCGAUUUUGAUAUAUAGAACGUCAAAAUUGGAGUUCGUAUGCGAAAGUUAUGGCUGUUUUACGAACGGACUCUGAAUUAGAGGACAAAACGGUCCUGAAGUGGGAAAAGAUUGCGGUGGUGGCUAGAAAUUGAUGGAAACAGUGAGAAAAAACACACAAACUGGACUGUAACAAGACCUAACCAGUAACAAGACCUCGACCAGGAUACAAACUCAACACUACGGACUCUGAAACUAAAAUAUGCAAAGGCUAUGGCGCGGAUGGGUUGUAGGACAUGAAAACAAUAUGGCACUAGACUUAUGGGACGAAAACAAGGACACUUCAAAAUAAGGGUAGAUGUGAACCUAACGGUAUGUCUGAAGCUUUGAUUACCACUUGAGGAGAACAAGUGUGGCCCGAUCUUCCGGAAGUUUCUGGUAACUAUCGAUUUGGUGGAAACGAAAGACAUAUCAAUCCAAAUUGCGAACAACACAAUUCGAGACCAUGCAAUUCUUUUAAUUUUUUUUGAUAUUUUUGUUUUACUAAGGAGCACUCAAGAAGUAACCACAGGAAAUUUGAGCUUAAACAAGUGAAAGACGUGGCCUGUGGAAUAUUUUGAAGAUUGUGAAAAAUAUGGAAAAAAACAUUAGGAGGUGAAAACUCAAACUUCAGAGGCGAAUUUGGGGAUUCUAAAAUUGUCGAACCCACCGUUGGCGAGGAUAGACGGAUCCAAAAAUUGUUUCUGAUCGAUUCGAUUUUGAUAUAUAGAAUGUCAAAAUUGGAGUUCGUAUGCGAAAGUUAUGGCUGUUUUAUGAACGUACUCUGAAUUAGAGGACAAAACGGUCCGGAAGUGGGAAAAAAUUGCAGUGGUGGCUAGAAAUUGAUAGAAAUAGUGGGAAAAAACACACAAACUGGACUGUA